GAUGAACGUUGGCGGCGUGCCUAAUACAUGCAAGUCGAGCGAACGGACGAGAAGCUUGCUUCUCUGAUGUUAGCGGCGGACGGGUGAGUAACACGUGGAUAACCUACCUAUAAGACUGGAAUAACUUCGGGAAACCGGAGCUAAUACCGGAUAAUAUUUUGAACCGCAUGGUUCAAAAGUGAAAGACGGUCUUGCUGUCACUUAUAGAUGGAUCCGCGCUGCAUUAGCUAGUUGGUAAGGUAACGGCUUACCAAGGCAACGAUGCAUAGCCGACCUGAGAGGGUGAUCGGCCACACUGGAACUGAGACACGGUCCAGACUCCUACGGGAGGCAGCAGUAGGGAAUCUUCCGCAAUGGGCGAAAGCCUGACGGAGCAACGCCGCGUGAGUGAUGAAGGUCUUCGGAUCGUAAAACUCUGUUAUUAGGGAAGAACAUAUGUGUAAGUAACUGUGCACAUCUUGACGGUACCUAAUCAGAAAGCCACGGCUAACUACGUG
rnacentral:rRNA from 1 species